rnacentral:lncRNA from 1 species
GGGGGUUGCUUCACUUGUUGGUAAAGAUUUUAAUGUGUCAACCAGAACAAAUACUUGUUUGAUAAAGGAGAAAGGAGUUGGCCUUCCCCAGCAGGAGAGUAGGAGGAGCUUUGAAAGCAGACAGAUGACUUAUAGAGAGCAAAAGCAAGGGCUUGAAGUGAACAAGUUGGCAUUUUGGUGUAGACAAGUCUGAUCUGUAC